UACGUAGGGGGCAAGCGUUGUCCGGAAUUAUUGGGCGCAAAGAGCGUGUAGGCGGUCCGGUAAGUCAGCUGUGAAAGUCAAGGGCUCAACCCUUGAAUGCCGGUUGAUACUGUCGGGCUAGAGUCCGGAAGAGGCGAGUGGAAUUCCCGGUGUAGCGGUGAAAUGCGCAGAUAUCGGGAGGAACACCAAUGGCGAAGGCAGCUCGCUGGGACGGUACUGACGCUGAGACGCGAAAGCGUGGGGAGCAAACAGG
rnacentral:rRNA from 1 species